UACGUAGGUGGCAAGCGUUGUCCGGAUUUACUGGGUGUAAAGGGCGUGCAGCCGGGAAGGCAAGUCAGAUGUGAAAUCUGGAGGCUCAACCUCCAAACUGCAUUUGAAACUGCUUUUCUUGAGUAUCGGAGAGGUAAUCGGAAUUCCUUGUGUAGCGGUGAAAUGCGUAGAUAUAAGGAAGAACACCAGUGGCGAAGGCGGGUUACUGGACGACAACUGACGGUGAGGCGCGAAAGCGUGGGGAGCAAACAGGAUUAGAGACCCUGGUAGUCCACGCUGUAAACGAUCAAUACUAGGUGUGCGGGGACUGGCCCCCUGCGUGCCGCAGUUAACACAAUAAGUAUUGCACCUGGGGAGUACGAUCGCAAGGUUGAA
rnacentral:rRNA from 1 species